rnacentral:rRNA from 1 species
UCCAGACUCCUACGGGAGGCAGCAGUGGGGAAUAUUGGGCAAUGGGCGCAAGCCUGACCCAGCAACGCCGCGUGAGUGAAGAAGUAUUUCGGUAUGUAAAGCUCUCUCAGCAGGGAAGAAAGAAAUGACGGUACCUGACUAAGAAGCCCCGGCUAACUACGUGCCAGCAGCCGCGGUAAUACGUAGGGGGCAAGCGUUAUCCGGAUUUACUGGGUGUAAAGGGAGCGUAGACGGCGAUGCAAGUCUGAAGUGAAAGGCGGGGGCCCAACCCCCGGACUGCUUUGGAAACUGUAUGGCUGGAGUGCAGGAGAGGUAAGUGGAAUUCCUAGUGUAGCGGUGAAAUGCGUAGAUAUUAGGAGGAACACCAGUGGCGAAGGCGGCUUACUGGACUGUAACUGACGUUGAGGCUCGAAAGCGUGGGGAGCAAACAGGAUUAGAUACCCCAGUAC